AUACGGAGGGUGCAAGCGUUGUCCGGAUUUAUUGGGUUUAAAGGGUGUGUAGGCGGUGUAUUAAGUCAGUGGUGAAAGCCUGCGGCUCAACCGUAGAACUGCCAUUGAUACUGACACACUUGAGUAUGGACGAGGUAGGCGGAAUUUAUGGUGUAGCGGUGAAAUGCAUAGAUACCAUAAAGAACACCGAUAGCGAAGGCAGCUUACUAGGCCAUAACUGACGCUGAGGCACGAAAGCGUGGGGAGCGAACAGGAUUAGAUACCCGGGUAGUCC
rnacentral:rRNA from 1 species